rnacentral:rRNA from 1 species
ACGCUGGCGGCGUGCUUAACACAUGCAAGUCGAACGAAGCUGUUGUUUGGAGACCUUCGGGUGGAAGAAUAACAGACUGAGUGGCGGACGGGUGAGUAACGCGUGGGUAACCUACCUUGCACAGGGGGACAACAGUUGGAAACGACUGCUAAUACCGCAUAAGACCACAGUACCGCAUGGUACAGGGGUAAAAACUGAGGUGGUGCAAGAUGGACCCGCGUCUGAUUAGCUAGUUGGUGGGGUAAAGGCCUACCAAGGCGACGAUCAGUAGCCGACCUGAGAGGGUGAUCGGCCACAUUGGGACUGAGACACGGCCCAAACUCCUACGGGAGGCAGCAGUGGGGAAUAUUGGACAAUGGGGGGAACCCUGAUCCAGCGACGCCGCGUGAGUGAAGAAGUAUUUCGGUAUGUAAAGCUCUAUCAGCAGGGAAGAAAAUGACGGUACCUGACUAAGAAGCCCCGGCUAACUACGUGCCAGCAGCCGCGGUAAUACGUAGGGGGCAAGCGUUAUCCGGAUUUACUGGGUGUAAAGGGAGCGCAGACGGCUUGGCAGGUCUGAAGUGAAAGCCCGGGGCUUAACCCCGGGACUGCUUUGGAAACUGUGAAGCUAGAGUGUCGGAGAGGUAAGUGGAAUUCCCAGUGUAGCGGUGAAAUGCGUAGAUAUUGGGAGGAACACCGGUGGCGAAGGCGGCUUACUGGACGAUAACUGACGUUGAGGCUCGAAGGCGUGGGGAGCAAACAGGAUUAGAUACCCUGGUAGUCCACGCGGUAAACGAUGAAUACUGGUGUCGGGGGACAUAGUCUUUCGGUGCCGCCGCUAACGCAUUAAGUAUUCCACCUGGGGAGUACGUUCGCAAGAAUGAACUCAAAGGAAUUGACGGGGACCCGCACAAGCGGUGGAGC